rnacentral:rRNA from 1 species
UAAUACGUAGGGGGCGAGCGUUGUCCGAAGUUACUGGGCGUAAAGAGCGCGUAGGCGGGUUGGCAAGUCCGCUGUGAAAGCCCGGGGCUUAACCCCGGAGGGUCGGUGGAUACUGCCAGUCUUGAAGAUACUAGGGGAAGAUGGAAUUACCGGUGUAGCGGUGAAAUGCGUAGAUAUCGGUAGGAACACCCGUGGCGAAGGCGGUCUUCUGGGGUAGUCUUGACGCUGAGGCGCGAAAGCUGGGGGAGCGAACGGGAUUAGAUACCCCGGUAGUCCCAGCCCUAAACGAUGGAUACUAGGUGUCAGGGGUAUCGACCCCCCUGGUGCCGCAGCUAACGCAGUAAGUAUCCCGCCUGGGGAGUACGGCCGCAAGGUUG